rnacentral:tRNA from 1 species
GCGCGUUUAGCUCAGUGGUAGAGCGUCGCAUUCACAUUGCGAAGGCCGCUGGUCCGAUCCCAGCAACGCGCA